CGACAUCGGCAUCGGCAUGCUAAAAUUGGGACGACACAGAGAAGACUAGCAUGGCCCCUGCGCAAGGUAGAGACGAAAAAUCCUGAAACGUUCCACAUUUUU
rnacentral:snRNA from 1 species